rnacentral:rRNA from 1 species
GACGAACGCUGGCGGCGUGCUUAACACGUGCAAGUCGAACGAUGAACCGGAGCUUGCUCUGGGGAUUAGUGGCGAACGGGUGAGUAACACGUGGGCAACCUGCCCCAGACACCGGGAUAACCAUUCGAAAGGAUGGCUAAUACCGGAUACGACCACUUCGGGCAUCCGAUGGUGGUGGAAAGGAUUCUGGUCUGGGAUGGGCCCGCGGCCUAUCAGCUUGUUGGUGGGGUAAUGGCCUACCAAGGCGACGACGGGUAGCCGGCCUGAGAGGGCGACCGGCCACACUGGGACUGAGACACGGCCCAGGCUCCUACGUGAGGCAGCAGUGGGGAAUAUUGCGCAAUGGGCGAAAGCCUGACGCAGCGACGCCGCGUGAGGGACGAAGGUCUUCGGAUUGUAAACCUCUUUCAGCAGGGAUGAAGCGAAAGUGACAGUACCUGCAGAAGAAGCACCGGCUAACUACGUGCCAGCCGCCGCCGUAAUAC